UUGGUGGGGAUGAUGGUCACUGCUUAGGUGGGGGUGGAUUCAGGAGAAGGGAAUGGGGGAAGGGUGGUUCUCCAUGGCUUUAAGACCUCAAAGCUCAAAAGCUUGUCUGGAUUAGCCCCACAGUCUACAUGUGGAGAGUUUAUAUUUAUGGGAACCAAAGAGGCAGCUCAGCGUUAGAGACCUAGAGAUCUGCCUAGCCUGUGAGGGUUUAGUCCUAGAAUCCAGAAAAAGAAACAGUUACAACCAGGUGCUGUGCCCCCUUCCUUCUGGGAGCAAAGUCUAAUAGGGCAGGCAGGGGUCAGUAAGGAAGUAGGAUCCUAGGAAAAUUAGGAAUCUGUGGGAGUGUCGUGUGUAGGGACAUGUUGUUAGUCCAGGAGAUUGGGAAAGGCUGGGAAGUGUCUUACAAACCCUCUGAGGUCGGGCAUAUGAACUGGGAGCCAAAGUGGGCUGAGGAAAGGCAGGAAACCUACAAGCUGGGUGCCUGGCAGAGGUGGGCUGUGUAUGUGGGGUUGGGGCUUGAGCAAGAGGAGAGCAUGAGGGAGGGGCUGAUGAGAUACACGGGUGCCUCACGGGAGGAGGGUGGUGAGUUUCUCAGGGCAGCCGGGAGCUGCGGUAAGGCCUGUCCACUCAGCAGCCCCUCACCCCACGACGGUUCUGACAUUGCUUUAUCCUGUCAUCUCCAGACCCUUUGAACAUGGCAGUGCUGGCUCUGUCUUGUUCUGAAGGCUUUUGAGCCUUACCCGCCUGCUGCACAAACCGCUGUAGCUCCUGAUGUGGUAUGUCAAUCUAUGCCUUCCCUGGGUAGGGGUCCUACCACCUUCGCAGCCGGUGACUCCAGAAUGCUGAGUUUUUACCCCU
rnacentral:lncRNA from 1 species